GCGGCCCUGAUGACGCGUCCAAGAUGGCCGACAGGCCCCUGAGCUGUAACUUCCGCUGCCCGACUGUUCGUGACGAUGGAGACCUGAUGGAAGAAAGGAGACUGACUGAAAAUGUUGGAGGAGCAGCUGGAGAACAACAAGGUUCAAGACAAGCGGACGGAGGACGAAAUGAACAAAGCUGCUGAAUGAGCAGAGACACUUGAAGGUCCUGGAGGAGACGAGGAGGAUGGAGGAACAUUUGGGCGCAGUUUCCAGACCUGAGGACGGCAGGUUUCUUCUUCUGCUCUGCGGUUACUCUGAGAAGUAACUUUGACAGUUUGGGGGUGGUUCAGCUUUUGUCAAAUGUUUGCUGUGCAGCUGAAUUUUAAUAAAGAAUAAUGUAGCAUAA